UUUGUUUAUUCUCCAGUCGCGUGUGAGUCAGCCAGAUCAUGAUUUGUGGUGGUUUUGCUUGUGAAAUCUUACAUAAUUAUAUUCCUAUUGUCAUGUUGGGUCGAGCAGUUAGACCAUGUAGUGUUUUCUCAUUGCACAAUGUUUGCAAAUCAAUAAGGAGAAAGCCUGAACAAUGCGAUGACGUUGGCCAGGAACCCGGCCCGAGUCACCCAGGAGGCGGCUCUGCAGUUUCUCAGGAGGACACAUUUGGACCUGACCUUCACCACUGGUCAUGUGAGAAAGCCUCUAUACCUGGUUCCUCAACGUCUCCGUUUAGAAGACUGCAUCAGCAAAACCAUCCUACCAUGGGAAUUAACUGAUGGAUGUGUCUGGACUUCCCAGGGGGUUCUCCAUGGACAGUAUUGUGCUGGUAAAUAUUUAACAACUGACUCUUCGUGGGGAGAAAAUCACUAAGUGUAGCAUCUGUUAACACCUCCACCCUGGCUGAUGCGCAGUUGGGAAGACAUGUGCACAGCUGGCACCGUGAGCUGGCAGGAGCUGCU
ensembl:lncRNA STAU2-AS1 STAU2 antisense RNA 1